UAAUGACUUGAUAAGAAUAAUUUAUUACAAUAUGGAAGAUUUGAACAGAACUAGUUCUUUUGGAACUGUUUUUGUUGUUCAGCUCCUUCAGAUAUUAGCAGUUAUCAUAGACAAAAUACGAAUGUCAUCUGAAGACGGACUUUCUCUUGCCUCCCACUGAAAACCUCUGCUCCUCUGUUUGCAUCCAAGUUGACCCAAGAACAGAUUACCUCCACGUUAACGUCCUGCCACCAAUGCAGGCAGCAGUACGGUACAGAGGUUAAAGAACUGGGCCUGUGUUUUAGCCCAAUGUAUGUGUGUGGCACCACCAUUGUGAGCUUAAGAACUGUAUCAUAACUGCUUCAGUAUAACUACCACUGUAUAAACCAUCAUAUCCAUUUGCACAAUAAAAACCAAACAGACACUGGUGUAAUUUGGUCAUGUAGGUUUUACUGUGAUGUACUGUUGUGACUCUACAGGUAAAUGAACCAUCCUCAUAGGCUUUUUCAUUAUGUAAUACAAAUUUUCUCAAUGAAUGGGUCUUAGUCAGCUUUUUGUAGAAAAAUGUGCCUUGUUGUUGAAAAUGCGUCCUUAGGCUGGUGUUGUUGAGUGACAGGGCCUGCUGAAUAGAGCCAUAUAGCACCUUCAAACAACCUCGGGUUCAGCUAAACUGCUUCACAGCUGAAACAAAGUCAUCCAGUUUGAAGGGCUUGAGGCCUAAGGGAACAGGCACAAAUCACCAUAAUGAGCCAAUAACAGCACACGUUACUGGCUCAUAAUUAACAGCCUCUCGUGUUAAUGGCUAGACAGUUAAAUCCAUUUGAUCCGUGCUCUAAGGUAACAGUGCUGUGUCUCAGGUCAGUCAGUCUAUUGAUUUUAAUUUUUUUAAAGGAGGUGUUCACCAUUCUUAUGGGUUUUUAUUUCUUUCAUUUUACUCAGAUGGGGGAAAAUAAAGUUGGUUACAGAUGAGAAAAUGUAUGAGGUUCUCUGUGGGUUUGGAUUCAGCUGGAAGGUGUUUUAAUUAGGCUACAGCAUGGAGGGAGCAGUGUGUUUGUAGGCAGAGGGUUGUAUGUGUAUUGUUGUAUUUUGUCCUGGAGAGAGGUAUGUACAGUAUGUAUAUGUAUUUGGUUCUUCCUUGUACAGAGCACACUUGUACAUUGUGAGGAUCAUUCACUCUCUUCAAUAUGCCACACUUGACUUGGAACCUGUCUGAACUCAUACGUGGCUGUAAUUUCUGUGUGCCUGCAGGUAAAAGCAAUGUAUGCAUUUUGGAUAUAAAAAAACAUAUGACGAAAAAUCUAAUUAUAUUUCAUGAAAAUACGUCAA